rnacentral:sRNA from 1 species
GGAGGUGCUUUUGCCAGGCCGCUGGGUGUGCAUUCCAUCUUUGCCACAAAACUGUAAUCCAGUUAUUUAACUUCUCUGUGCUUUGGUUUUGUUUAACCUCGUAAAACAGUGAUGAUGAUAAUGAUACACCAGCUACCUCAUGGAUUCUUUUUGAGAAUUAAAUGGAAUAACGCAAAUAAAAACCAGGGCUAGGGAUAUAGACAGCACUCAGUGAAGCUACUUUAAAGCAUUGUUUUUAUUAUGGAAAAGAUCUGGGCUGGAUUCUGGCUCAGCCACUAACUCACAGUGUCACAGUAUUGGUUCUCUGUGAGUACCCUGUGCUUUCCCAGCCACUGGGUCUCAGCCACGCCUUCCCUCAUCCUUGCUUCCCAUCUUUUAGGACAAUAGCCGGAGGCAGAAGCAGUUGUUAAACCAGAGGUUUGAGAGCCUGUGCGCAGUGCUGGAGGAGCGCAAGGGUGAGCUGCUGCAGGCGCUGGCCCGGGAGCAAGAGGAGAAGCUGCAGCGCGUCCGCGGCCUCAUCCGUCAGUAUGGCGACCACCUGGAGGCCUCCUCUAAGCUGGUGGAGACUGCCAUCCAGUCCAUGGAAGAGCCACAAAUGGCGCUCUACCUCCAGCAGGCCAAGGAGCUGAUCAAUAAGGUCGGGGCCAUGUCGAAGGUGGAGCUGGCAGGGCGGCCGGAGCCAGGC